rfam:Stegodyphus mimosarum contig97662, whole genome shotgun sequence.
GCCUUGGUGGUGUUGUGGUCAGCACGCUUGACGCGUAACCAAGAGGCCCGUGGUUCGAUUCCCGGCGAAGGCG